AAAUUUGCGCUCGGUAAAAAAAAUAUCCAAUGAAACGGUUGUAGGUAUGUUUUAAAAAAAACUAGAUACAUUUUAUACCCGGUUUUCACUGCAUUCUAUACUUGAGGAUUAAACUGAUUAUUCGUUAAAAUAUUAAAAAUGUACAACCUUAACCUAAAUAUUGUCUCUAAUGAGUGAUUCGAUGCAGAACUCUGUUCUAUAAUGUCAUAUCAUGAGGCGCAUUAUUUUUCAUCAAAAAGGUACUAGAAGGUCUUCCCUGACAGGGCUAAUGAAUUAUGUCUAAUAUUAUGACAGAACACGGUAAUUUAGUUUUACUGGAAAACCAAAAUUCCGAUUUUACGAUGAUCACCAUUGUUUCGGAUUAGAAUUUUUCGGGGAAAUUUUAGUUUAACUCGAUUAGAAUUUAAUAUUUGAAAAAAAAAACCCGUUUUUUAUAAUCAGUAGUCACGGAUACCCUCGGUGAUGGCAAGACCUGUUAUUUAAUUCUCCGGGACCACAUUUACGUCAUUGAAUUAUAAUCUGUCGCAGCAUUUUUUUUUUUUUUUUUUUUUUUUUUUUUGAAAUAGUGUUUUAAAAAGUGCAACGGUCGAGCAUCUAAUAAACAAUAUACGCGCGCUUUAUAUACCGUUGCCGAACGAACUUUUGGCGUACACGUAUUGGCGAUUUCUUUUAUUUUUUUUUUCUUUUACUGCUCCCAUCGACCAACUUUUUCGUCUUUUCUCCGUCACAUUUCGGCGGAGUCGACAAAGACGUGUACAGA